CGGACGGGUGAGUAAUGUAUGGGGAUCUGCCUGAUGGCGGGGGAUAACUACUGGAAACGGUAGCUAAUACCGCAUAAUGUCUGCGGACCAAAGCGGGGGACCUCCGGGCCUCGCGCCAUCAGAUGAACCCAUAUGGGAUUAGCUUGUAGGUGGGGUAACGGUUCACCUAGGCGACGAUCCCUAGCUGGUCUGAGAGGAUGACCAGCCACACUGGAACUGAGACACGGUCCAG
rnacentral:rRNA from 1 species